UACGAAGGCCUCAAGCGUUAUCCGGAUUUAUUGGGCGUAAAGAGCUAAAAGGCGGUUUGGAAAGUUGGAUAUUAAAGCCCAGAGCUCAACUCUGGAUCUAUGUCCAAAACUUCUUAACUCGAGGAUGGGAGAGGCAAGCGGAAUGGCUGGUGUAGCAGUAAAAUGCGUUAAUAUCAGCUGGAACACCAAUGGCGAAAGCAGCUUGCUGGAACAUUCCUGACGCUAUAUAGCGAAAAGCGUGGGUAGCGAAUGGGA
rnacentral:rRNA from 1 species